rnacentral:lncRNA from 10 species
AGUCAGACUAAAUGUUCUUCUCCUUAAGGAUGUAAAUUUCAUUCUUGGGAUUUUGUUAAGUAAUUAAUUUUGAAAUCAGUGUAUAUGCUUAGAAUCAAACAAUAUCUUGGAAAAAAGCGUAUUACAAAUUUAAAGAAUGACCAAGUAGAAAUAAAAAUGAGAAAAAAAAGAAGAUUCAGUAUUAUAAUGGUGUGUGACUGCAUCUUUGUUAAUUUCAUGGAGGAGUAAUUUUUAUCAGUUUAUGAAAAAUAGACAUUUUAAUAUCUCAUACAGAAAAAAACAAAUCCGCAAAGUAAAGUUCUUUGCUUUAAGAUGCAUGUUUAGAAAUUAAAAUCAUAAAAUGUUGAGCUAAGAGAAUAUUUAAUCUGAGUGUAAAACGCUCCUUUAAAGCCAGUGCACAGAAGGGUGAAGACAAGUCACAGACUAGAACGUAUUUGUAUGACUUUUUUGGAGUGGAGGUGGUAGUUGCGUUUUCUAAUUGGAUACGUAGUCAUUUUUACUUUAUCUUAUUUAUUCUCCUUCCAGAAUAGUACCAGGAAAUUAUGUUUUGGCUUCACUUCUGAAUCAACAAUGAUGGUCGCCAUCUGCAGAGGAUGAGGGAGAAGGAACAGUUUAGCAUGAGUAUCAGCAUUUCUGAGAGUUCAGUUUCUUUGAAAACCACAGAAGGGAAAAUGCAGUGGAGAACUUGUGAACAACUGGGUCAGGAAAAACUGCGGCUGCUUUUCAGGGCUCUGAUCUAGGAACCCCAGAUGCAAAGACAUGCUGGCGUCCUCUUGCUCAGCCAUUCACCGGGAAACAGGUGAGCCAGCUCACUUCAUCAACCUCCGUGUGCAAUGUAGCUCAACAAAUAACUGAUUGACAAUCCUUUAUAAAUAUUAACAUGGUGCAAAAGUAAUGGCAAAAACCACAAUUACUUUUGUAUUUGUGUACUAAUACUAUUGGCCGUGUUGUCACAUGCGUGCAUUUGGAUUUACUGA